rnacentral:rRNA from 1 species
CUGGUUGAUCCUGCCAGAGGUCACUGCUAUCGGGGUUCGAUUAAGCCAUGCGAGUUGAGAGGGUUAAGACCCUCGGCGGACUGCUCAGUAACACGUGGAUAACCUGCCCUAAGGUGGAGGAUAACCCCGGGAAACUGGGGAUAAUACUCCAUAGGUUAAAGGUACUGGAAUGCUCUUUAACCGAAAGUUCCGGCGCCUUAGGAUGGAUCUGCGGCCGAUUAGGUUGUUGUUGGGGUAGUGGCCCAACAAGCCUGUAAUCGGUACGGGUUGUGGGAGCAAGAGCCCGGAGAUGGAAUCUGAGACACGAUUCCAGGCCCUACGGGGCGCAGCAGGCGCGAAAACUUUACAAUGCAGGAAACUGUGAUAAGGGAACCCCGAGUGCCCGUAUAUGCGGGCUGUCCGGAUGUUUAAAACGCAUCCGAAGAAAGGGCCGGGCAAGACCGGUGCCAGCCGCCGCGGUAAUACCGGCGGCUCGAGUGGUGGCCACUUUUAUUGGGCUUAAAGCGUUCGUAGCUUGAAUAAUAAGUCUCUUGGGAAAUCUGCAGGCUUAACCUGCAGGCGUUUAAGAGAAACUGUUGUUCUAGGAACCGGAAGAGGUGAGAGGUACUCCGGGGGUAGGAGUGAAAUCCUGUAAUCCCCGGGGGACCACCGAUGGCGAAGGCAUCUCACCAGGACGGCUUCGACAGUGAGGAACGAAAGCUGGGGGAGCGAACCGGAUUAGAUACCCGGGUAGUCCCAGCCGUAAACGAUGUGCGUUAGGUGUGCCGGUGACCACGAGUCACUGGGGUGCCGAAGGGAAACCGUGAAACGUACCGCCUGGGAAGUACGGUCGCAAGGCUGAAACUUAAAGGAAUUGGCGGGGGAGCACCAC